ensembl:lncRNA LINC02268 long intergenic non-protein coding RNA 2268
ACCACACACACACACGCACGCACGCACACACACGCACGCACGCGCACACACACACGCGCACACACACGCACACGCCCGCGCACACACUCUCUCACACACACACAGAGAUUGGAGAGAGACAGGAGAGAGACAUGUUUUCAUCUAUCCUUUGUGGACUUCUGUUGUUUUUACUGCUGUGAAAUUUGACUUGCGAUAUCUGCUUGUAAAACAUCAUCAAAUCCAAAUUCAUUAUAUUCCACUUUUUCUAUUACAUGGUUUCUGCUUCACUGAUUCAUAUCUGUUUUACCUAUUCUGUAAGGGAGGAGAAGCUGCAAAGCAAUGAAGAGAAAAGCUGAAGUCAGUGAUUAGGAGUGUCUGUGUAAGUAAAAGCAACAGGCAAUUACUGAGUGUGGUGUGAGAGGCACGGAAAGAUUGGGAAUUCAGCAAGAAGAGGAAUUGAAGUCAAACCUCACCUACUUCCCAGAGUCUUCUGGAUUUUCUGUUAGAAGCUUCAGUAUCUGAGAUAUUCCUAUGCAUUCUACUGCUUUAAUCCCACCUAAGUAGAGAUGUCCACAACAGAGAGAAUGGAGCUGUCACAUCGUUUCAACUGCCCAGGUAGUUCCUACUGGAUGAAUGGGAUUGUCACCUUCACACCUGCUAGAGGCUUGGAGCAUGCAAGAGUUUUUUUAAAUGGCUUCACCUUUCUUAUGAAAAUGCAACCACUAGUACUCUUCCAAUAAAAGCUUUUCUCAAGUGUGAGUAUACACUUGGCAUGGAAUA